GAUGAAAAACUUUUCCCACAUUUUAUGGGAAAAUUUUGAGUAAAAACACGAAAUUCAUGGGAAUUAAAUCACAGAUAAAAAAAAACAAUAAAGUUACAUAACAAAAAUUCAUUCAAAAAACAAAUGGCAAAUUCGACCACCCUGAGACCUUCUCUUCUUCCUCGCCUUUUCUUCUCCUUCCUCUCUCUGAGUUUUUCUCCUGUUGGCUAAUGAAUCAAAGCUACUAGAAUGUCGAGGGAAUGAGGGGUAAAGGCCUUGAUUUGGUGGUCGAGUCCGGCAUCAAUAAGGGCGACAUGGAGAAUUUGGUUUCUUCUUCUUCUUCUCUCUCUUUGAUUUCAUUACACAUUCAUUAAUUAUAAUCUCAAUCUUUUUCUCCACUUGCAAACACCUUAGUCUUUUAUUUUUCUCAAAUUUAGGGUGUGUGGGUUGAACUCUAUGCAUAUAUAAAUACACUAGUUGAGAGCAUCUUCGUUAUAAGAGUUUCUUUUUUUAGAAGGAACGAUGUAGAGUUUGAUAACAAAAAUGAAAGAGAACCUCAAUAAGAUCACACAGGAUGUGCAUGACGAUGAAGAUGAUGACGAGUUCCAGAUCUAUGGUGUCAAUGGAGGUGGGGCGUUGCUGGUCUUUGCUCAGGGAAAUUCUCACUGUUUUGUGUAUUUCAAGUUAGUUUAUCGCUCACUGCUCGUGAAAGGGAUCGAUUACUCUACUACAAGUCUUGAGAUGUCUGGAACCAUCACUUCUCCGAAAGAUCCUAAAGCCUGGUCUGGUUUGAAUCCAUGUAAAUGGCUUUACAUCCAUGAAGUGAACCACCUCACCAUUGAAGGAGGAGGUACAAUCAAUGGGAUGGGACAUGAAUGGUGGUCUCGGUCUUGCAAGCGCACCCCAGAAAAAGUAUUACAAUCUUGUGCCAUGUCGACAUGCUCCCACUAUAAGUGCUGCUAUAUUUUUCAGACAUGCAAUUAGUUUUAUUUUUAAAUUUAUUUUUCUUAUCUGCCCUUUAGUUUAGAUCAUUAUCUCACAGUAGUAUCAAUUAUAAUUCAGGCUAUUACUUUCCACAAGUGAAAGAAUCUGAAGGUUAAGGACCGAAUGCUUGUUGAUAGCCAACAAAUACACAUGGCAUUCACUAAUUGUAUCCUGGUUUUGGCAUCCCAUCUCAAACUCGUUGCACCUGGUUCUAGCCCUAACACUGAUGCAGUCCACAUUAGUUCAUCAAGAAGAAUUGAGGUCGACCAUAGCAUUUUCAAGACAUGUCACUUUAGGCCUUGUUCAGAUGGCUUUCAUUAAAACCACUCCUCUUUUUCAUCUCCUUGACAAUGGCUACACAUUGAUGAGCUAUAUUUCUUGAGUUUGACAUUGGCUCUACAAAAUUCUCAUAGUUAUUUAACUUGUCCAGGUGAUGAUUGCAUUUCUAUUGUUGGUACCUCACAGAUUAGGACACGUGAUAUUUCUUGUGGCCCAGGUCAUGGGAUUAGGUAAGGGGCUCUACUCUUUUAAUAAUGCAAGAUUGUGUAUCAUGAUCACCAUAACUGACUCUAACCUACAUCCAUAGUAUUAGAAGCUUGGGAAAGUCAAAGUCAAGUUUCUUAACCAAGCUGGCACCGUUCCACUCCUGGAGCAAUUUAUACUUUUUCCAUGUAUUAUUCAGGGUGGUAGUUGUUUUGCUUCAAAGAUUUCAUUCCAAAACGUGUUAAUGGAGAAUGUAUCAAAUCCAACAAUAAUAGGCCAAUAUUACAGUGACUCUCAGAAACCAUGUCACAACCAGAGAUGCAGAUUUUGGCAGCGAAAGUGGAGAACAUAUCUUUCAUACACAUUAAAAGGACUUCGGCUACAGAGGAAGCGAUGAAAUUUACUUGCAGCGAUAUAUAGGUUACCCUGUGAAGGGUUGUAUUUAGAAGAUGCACAACUUCUGUCAUGCAUUAGGGAAAUGACCAUGUCCUUUUGUUGGGAGGCUUAUGGCUCAAGUUUGGGUUUAGUUGAUUCACCAUAUUGUUUUUCUA